rnacentral:rRNA from 1 species
UACGGAGGGUGCAAGCGUUAUCCGGAUUCACUGGGGUUAAAGGGUGCGUAGGUGGAUUGGUAAGUCAGUGGUGAAAUCUCCGGGCUUAACUCGGAAACUGCCAUUGAUACUAUCAGUCUUGAAUACCGUGGAGGUCAGUAGAAUAUGUCAUGUAGCGGUGAAAUGCUUAGAUAUGACAUAGAAUACCAAUUGCGAAGGCAGCUGGCUACGCGAAUAUUGACACUCAGGCACGAAAGCGUGGGGAUCAAACAGG